UCGCAGCUGAACUCUCUCCGCCUCUCUCUCUCUCUCUCUCUCUGUUCGGUUGCACAAAGCAGAGCAGCGAAGAUCGAAGCCAGUCUGCAUCUUUCGGUUGGUGCAAGGGUGAUCGGCGAUGAAGAAGCGACCGUUGGACCGAACGAAGGUGGUUUGGCGUCACUUGCCACCCUCCAUUACGCGGGCGUUUCUGACCGAGCAAAUCGACAGUGUCUUCUCCGGGCGGUACUGCUGGGUCUCUUUCCGUCCUGGCAAGAGCAGCCAGAAGCGCCAUACUUUUUCUAGAGCCUAUAUCAAGUUCGAGAGGCUGGAGGAUGUAACAGAAUUUGCGGGGUUCUUUGAUGGGCACGUGUUUGUGAAUGAGAAGGGUGCCCAAUUCAAAACAAUUGUUGAGUAUGCUCCUUUUCAACGUGUUCCGGCCCAACGUUUAAGGAAAGAUAGUCGUGAAGGGACCCUAAUUACAGAUCCUGAGUAUAUUGAAUUCCUCAAAUUAUUGGUAACGCCCGUUGAGAAUCUUCCCAGUGUGGAGAUACAGCUGGGGAGAAGAGAGGGGGAGGGAUCCGGUGCUGCAGAAGGUGUUCCUAUUGUUACAACGCCUCUAAUGGAUUAUGUUCGUCGAAAAAGAGCUUCUAAGAGUUCAAGGACAAGAGGCAAAUUGAAGGAAAAAGCUGGGAAGCCAUCAGCUGAAACUAAGCCUUCAUUAUUAUCUAAACUCAAUACCAAAAAAAGGACUUCCACAACAACGGAGUAGCUGGUUUUGACAAUUCCAGGAACAGGAAAAUCCGCUUUCAGAAAGGAAGGUGAGACAAAUUCAUGAGGUCUUUGGUGGUAUUGCACUGCGGCUAUUCCAAGAAAAACACAUGACGGUUCCAUCUGCUAAAAAGCAUCAUCACCGAAGUGAAAAACGUAAUCUUGGAAAUCAAUAUGUGCAUAAAUAUCUGCCUAAAAUUCAUCUAGGAAAUGGAAAAAGACCUCCUGGGGACCCACUUGUACAACCAUCUGUAAAAGAUGCAAACAGUGCCUCUGAUGUGGUUGUUGGGAAUGACCUACUUAAUUUGGGAGAUGAGAAACUGAAAACUCGAAUAAGGUAGAAGGAUCAAGUCACUAGACCUGACCAUGGUGUAAGGUGCCUCUGCUUUGUCAAUCGGAGGGGAUCAAAUGCAAACAAUGAGAUUUGAUCCUUCUCGGCAUUUAUAUCUGCUAAGUGUCUCUUAGAGUCUUCAGAUGGUAAGGAUAUGUUUGCAUUUCUCUGUAUCGUAGUGUUUUAGAUUUCGUCGUCUCCUCUGCAUUCAUGUGGGACGUUAUCCUCCAGGAGGCAAUGCAGAUCCUCAAGUUACCAUUUCAGCAGUUAGGAGCUCUUGAGUGAGAAGUAGAGGCAGUGGUCAGUCUUCUGUAAACAAUGGCUGGUUUUUGUUUUGGGGAUGUCAAUUACUUCCCCUCCUAAUGCCUUCCUGUCCCCAGACUCCUAUCAUGUGAUUUUGGGGUUAGUAAAUGGUCGAGUAUAGCUUCAUAUGCUUUUGAUGCAGCUAUCAUUGUGAGACUUUCCUAGAAAGGAAUAGAUGCCAAACAUGAGUAUGGCUGGCCUGGCAA